UGCACUUGACGAUUUGACAUUGGGGCAGUCCUACGCCUUUGUGGACUUCCAAGUCCACCUCAUAGUCUGUAAGGCAAAGUAAGGUACCUAAUGCAACUUUUUUGCUCCUGGAUACAAAAGGAAAACUUGCAAGGUUCUCCUUUUACAUGACUAACCUACAGGUGCCAGAGUCUCCACGCAAGUGGAGGAGUCCUAGCUGAUUUCUGGAGGGGUGGCAGAGGGCUAAACCAAGUGUGGUAGAAGCAGGAGGAGGACAGACAGAUUGCUCAUUGUAUAUCUGCAUGUGAUUCACAAUACUUCCAUAUCUAUGGAUGUAUCAAGGACUCUCGGAGAAUAUGGAAGCAGGCUAACCCCCAGGAAGGAGCCUCAUCAUUUCAGAGGGGUGGCUACAAGUAGAUGCAUUUGAGUUUGAAGUUUAGGUGGUUGAGUGUAGGGUGUCCCACUGGGUAUAACAUAACCCCUCUGUUGGAAUUCCAGCCCUGCCACUCCAGGACAAGCUGGCUACAUCUGCAACUUGCUGUGGCAACAAUUCAGCCAUGGCUGAAGACAAACAUCACAGAAUUAUAAUGGUGCUAAGCUCUGAAUUGAAAGGGAAGCAGCCGGUGUGUGGGAUCACUGUAAUCAAGGAGGCAUCAUCAACAGAGGGAGUUGCUCAAUGCACAAACUGUAGUAUAUGACAGUCCUAUUUAGGUUCCCAAGGAAAACCUGCUUCUUUUUUUUUGGUCCCAGCUUGGACCCAACUUUUUGGGUUCUGAAGCAAUUUAUUUUUGGUCCAAAUGCAAAACUAGGUACCUGAACCAGAACAGAGUUUCCUGUUGGUAGAAAAAGCCCAAGAGAGAACUUCUGAUCUUGGGUUCUAGUGUGUCUUUUGUGUCUGACUUGGUUUUGGUAUUGUAAAUCAGACUUGUCAUAGUCUUGCUCACUGGCCUAGUACAAUUUUAUUAUUAUAUAAUAUAGCCAGUUUCAAAAAAUGUUAACCAAAUUUUCAUUGGCAUGUGGCUAUUAGGAGUUGGUUCUCUCAGCUCAGCAGUAGGUGGCCCUAAUGCUCCAGUCAGGUUCCAUUAUACCAAUUUUAGAAGAAUAUGGUGUAAUAAGAUGAUGUAGUUCAAGGAGUGCCAAACCUCAAACGAUGGAACACAGAAAACAUGAUGGAAAUAUUUUGUAUUCAUUUGAGGAAAGUUACAGUCUCAUCACUUCAGAGAACUGAUGUUUUCAUAUUUUUGUCUCUCUUGUGGAGCAGAAACUUCAGUAAGUCACAUGUAAGCUCAUCAUGAUUUAUUCGCUGACUCAGUCUCCAUUGUCAAAUUUUCUUAUUAUCGACAUACCAACAAACCUCCCUAAAGUGUAAAAGCUUGGUGAUGUUGUAACUCUUUUAGAACUAUUUGCCAUUUCGACGAAAACCCACCUAAUCUUGAUCAAUUUGAGUUUGGUAUUUUUUCAGGCUACUAAUUCACAGCCCACCAGCCAGCUUUCAGAACUUUGUCCUCAAGGUAGCUGGAGAAAACAGGAACUAAAAUAAUCUGUAAACAAACUUGUCUCUAUGUGGCAUUUAUUGAAAGUCAAUAUAGCAAACUAAUCUUACCACAUCUCUGAUCAUCUGACCACUUAUGUUUCUUUCCCCAUUGGAACAACCAUUUGGCAAUUUUGUCUUGGUUUCAGAUCUCAGGAAUGACUGUGGUGAGAGCAAUGUUAGCAGAAUUGAUGUAAUAAGUUAAUAAAUAGUUUACCUUGUAUCAUUUCUAAAAAAAAUUCAAAAUAAAUGUAAAUGACAUUUAAAAGUGCUGCUGUGUUUAUUGAUAACAGAUCUUUA